AGAGUUUGAUCCUGGCUCAGAUUGAACGCUGGCGGCAGGCCUAACACAUGCAAGUCGAGCGGGGUUUUCGGACCUAGCGGCGGACGGGUGAGUAAUGCGUAGGAAGCUGCCCGAUAGAGGGGGAUACCAGUUGGAAACGACUGUUAAUACCGCAUAAUGUCUACGGACCAAAGUGUGGGACCUUCGGGCCACAUGCUAUCGGAUGCGCCUACGUGGGAUUAGCUAGUUGGUGAGGUAAUGGCUCACCAAGGCGACGAUCUCUAGCUGGUUUGAGAGGAUGAUCAGCCACACUGGAACUGAGACACGGUCCAGACUCCUACGGGAGGCAGCAGUGGGGAAUAUUGGACAAUGGGCGCAAGCCUGAUCCAGCCAUGCCGCGUGUGUGAAGAAGGCCUUCGGGUUGUAAAGCACUUUCAGCGAGGAGGAAGGGUGGUGUGUUAAUAGCACAUCAUUUUG
rnacentral:rRNA from 1 species